rnacentral:sRNA from 1 species
AAGAGCAAAACUCGAGUACCUCUGAGGGAAAGCCGGACCCCUUUUCCAUCCUCUCCUGUAAAUCACUGUGUUUUCAGCUCAGCGGCCCUGUGACAUUCCUUCGUGUUGUCAUUUGUUGAGUGACCAAUCAGAUGGGUGGAGUGUGUUACAGAAAUUGGCAGCAAGUAUCCAAUGGGUGAAGAAGAAGCUAACUGGGGACGUGGGCAGCCCUGACGUGAUGAGCUCAACCAGCAGAGACAUUCCAUCCCAAGAGAGGUCUGCGUGACACGUCGGGGAGGCCACCCUCAGCAAGACCACCGUACGGUUGGUGGAAGGGGUGACAGCUGCAUUCUCCUGUGCCUACCACGUAACCAAAAAUGAAGGAGAACUACUGUUUACAAGCCGCCCUGGUGUGCCUGGGCAUGCUGUGCCACAGCCAGGCCUUUGCCCCAGAGCGGCGGGGGCACCUGCGGCCCUCCUUCCAUGGGCACCAUGAGAAGGGCAAGGAGGGGCAGGUGCUACAGCGCUCCAAGCGUGGCUGGGUCUGGAACCAGUUCUUCGUGAUAGAGGAGUACACCGGGCCUGACCCCGUGCUUGUGGGCAGG